AAGUUAUUAAAUAACUCUUUCUUAUAUUUUCAAAAUAUAUGCUUUAUUGAGAUAAGCUAAAUAACU
rnacentral:tRNA from 1 species